GCGGAAGUAGUUCAGUGGUAGAACAUCACCUUGCCAAGGUGGGGGUCGCGGGUUCGAAUCCCGUCUUCCGCUC
rnacentral:tRNA from 1 species